AAAUAGAUACCCGGGUAGUCCACACCGUAAACGAUGAGUGCUAAGUGUUGGGGGGGUUUCCGCCCCUCAGUGCUGCAGCUAACGCAUUAAGCACUCCGCCUGGGGAGUACGGUCGCAAGACUGAAACUCAAAGGAAUUGACGGGGGCCCGCACAAGCGGUGGAGCAUGUGGUUUAAUUCGAAGCAACGCGAAGAACCUUACCAGGUCUUGACAUCCCGGUGACCACUAUGGAGACAUAGUUUCCCCUUCGGGGGCAACGGUGACAGGUGGUGCAUGGUUGUCGUCAGCUCGUGUCGUGAGAUGUUGGGUUAAGUCCCGCAACGAGCGCAACCCUUAUUCUUAGUUGCCAUCAUUCAGUUGGGCACUCUAAGGAGACUGCCGGUGAUAAACCGGAGGAAGGUGGGGAUGACGUCAAAUCAUCAUGCCCCUUAUGACCUGGGCUACACACGUGCUACAAUGGACGGUACAAACGGUUGCCAACCCGCGAGGGGGAGCUAAUCCGAUAAAACCGUUCUCAGUUCGGAUUGUAGGCUGCAACUCGCCUACA
rnacentral:rRNA from 1 species